AAUGAACGCUGGCGGCAUGCCUAACACAUGCAAGUCGAACGGCAGCACAGUGAGCACUGGCUCUUGCGGGUGUCGAGUGUCGGAUGGUUGACGAAUACAUCGAAUUCUACUUUUUCGUGGGUGAUAACGUAGGAAAAUGUCUGCUAAUACCGCAUAUAUCCUACGGGUGAAAGCAGGCGAUCUUCGGACUUUUUGCUAUGGAAUGAGCCGAUGUCGGAUUAGCUAGUUGGCGGGGUAAAGGCCCGCCAAGGCGACGAUCCGUAGCUGGUCUGAGAGGAUGAUUCGACACAUUGGAACUGAGAAACGGUCCAGACUCCUACGGUAGGACGCAGUGGGGAAUCUUGCACAAUGGGCGAAAGCCUGAUCCAGCAAUACCGCGUGAGUGAAGAAGGCCUUAGGGUUGUAAAGCGCUGUUGUUGGGAAAGAAAAGAAGCAGGUUAAUCCCCGGUUGUUCUGACGGUACCCAAAGAAUAAGCACCGGCUAACUUCGUG
rnacentral:rRNA from 1 species